GAUGAACGCUGGCGGCGUGCCUAAUACAUGCAAGUCGAGCGAACAGACGAGGAGCUUGCUCCUCUGACGUUAGCGGCGGACGGGUGAGUAACACGUGGAUAACCUACCUAUAAGACUGGGAUAACUUCGGGAAACCGGAGCUAAUACCGGAUAAUAUAUUGAACCGCAUGGUUCAAUAGUGAAAGACGGUUUUGCUGUCACUUAUAGAUGGAUCCGCGCCGCAUUAGCUAGUUGGUAGGGUAACGGCUUACCAAGGCAACGAUGCGUAGCCGACGUGAGAGGGUGAUCGGCCACACUGGAACUGAGACACGGUCCAGACUCCUACGGGAGGCAGCAGUAGGGAAUCUUCCGCAAUGGGCGAAAGCCUGACGGAGCAACGCCGCGUGAGCGAUGAAGGUCUUCGGAUCGUAAAACUCUGUUAUGAGGGAAGAACAAAUGUGUAAGUAACUAUGCACGUCUUGACGGUACCUAAUCAGAAAGCCACGGCUAACUACGUG
rnacentral:rRNA from 1 species